ACCUCGUAUGCUUAGUAGCGGCGAGUGAGCGGCAAGAGCUCAAAUUUGAAAUCUGGUACUUUCAGUAUCCGAGUUGUAAUUUGAAGAAAGUUAUCUUGGAGUUGGCCCUUGUCUAUGUUCCUUGGAACAGGACGUCACAGAGGGUGAGAAUCCCGUGCGAUGGGGUGCCCAUUCUAUGUAAGAUACUUUCGACGAGUCGAGUUGUUUGGGAAUGCAGCUCUAAGUGGGUGGUAAAUUCCAUCUAAAGCUAAAUAUUGGCGAGAGACCGAUAGCGAACAAGUACAGUGAUGGAAAGAUGAAAAGAACUUUGAAAAGAGAGUGAAAAAGUACGUGAAAUUGUUGAAAGGGAAGGGUAUUUGAUCAGACUGAUAUUCAGUUAACACUGUUCCUUGUGGAUGGUGCUCUAGCUUUUUAUUGGGCCAGCAUCAGUUUAGGUGGCAGGAUAAGAACUGUUGAACGUGGCUCUUCGGAGUGUUAUAGCUUCAGUUGAUACUGCCUAUCUAGACUGAGGUCUGCGGCUUUGCCUAGGAUGCUGGCGUAAUGGUCUAAUACCACCCGUCUUGAAAACACGGACCC
rnacentral:rRNA from 1 species